AGAGUGCGUAAUAGCUCACUGGUCGAGUGACUCUGCGCCGAAAAUGUAACGGGGCUAAACACACCACCGAAGCUAUGGCUUGAUGCUUGCAUCAGGGGUAGGGGAGCGUUGAAUGCGGGUUGAAGGUGUACCGGAAGGAGCGCUGGACUGCAUUCAAGUGAGAAUGCCGGUAUGAGUAACGAAAAGAUCUGUGAGAAUCAGAUCCGCCGAAAGCCUAAGGGUUCCUGAGGAAGGUUCGUCCGCUCAGGGUAAGUCGGGACCUAAGGCGAGGCCGAUAGGCGUAGUCGAAGGACAACAGGUCGAAAUUCCUGUACCACCGUAAUCCGCUAUGAGCGAUGGGGUGACGCAGUAGGGUAGUGACGCGGACUGAUGGAUGUCCGUCUAAGCAGUGAGGCUGAUGUGUAGGCAAAUCCGCACAUCGUAAGGCUGGGCUGUGAUGGGGAGCGAAAAUUAUAGUAGCGAAGGUCAUGAUCUCAGACUGCCAAGAAAAGCCUCUAGCCAGGAGAAGGUGCCCGUACCGCAAACCGACACAGGUAGGCGAGAAGAGAAUUCUAAGGCGCGCGGAAGA
rnacentral:rRNA from 1 species